GGGGGUGUAGCUCAGUGGUAGAGCUCUUGCCUAUCACAUGUGAGGCACUGGGUUCAAUCCCCAGCACUGCAU
rnacentral:tRNA from 1 species